rnacentral:rRNA from 1 species
UUGCGGCGUGCUUAACACAUGCAAGUCGAACGGAAAGGCCCUGCUUUUGUGGGGUGCUCGAGUGGCGAACGGGUGAGUAACACGUGAGUAACCUGCCCUUGACUUUGGGAUAACUUCAGGAAACUGGGGCUAAUACCGGAUAGGAGCUCCUGCUGCAUGGUGGGGGUUGGAAAGUUUCGGCGGUUGGGGAUGGACUCGCGGCUUAUCAGCUUGUUGGUGGGGUAGUGGCUUACCAAGGCUUUGACGGGUAGCCGGCCUGAGAGGGUGACCGGCCACAUUGGGACUGAGAUACGGCCCAGACUCCUACGGGAGGCAGCAGUGGGGAAUAUUGCACAAUGGGCGGAAGCCUGAUGCAGCAACGCCGCGUGCGGGAUGACGGCCUUCGGGUUGUAAACCGCUUUCGCCUGUGACGAAGCGUGAGUGACGGUAAUGGGUAAAGAAGCACCGGCUAACUACGUGCCAGCAGCCGCGGUGAUACGUAGGGUGCGAGCGUUGUCCGGAUUUAUUGGGCGUAAAGGGCUCGUAGGUGGUUGAUCGCGUCGGAAGUGUAAUCUUGGGGCUUAACCCUGAGCGUGCUUUCGAUACGGGUUGACUUGAGGAAGGUAGGGGAGAAUGGAAUUCCUGGUGGAGCGGUGGAAUGCGCAGAUAUCAGGAGGAACACCAGUGGCGAAGGCGGUUCUCUGGGCCUUUCCUGACGCUGAGGAGCGAAAGCGUGGGGAGCGAACAGGCUUAGAUACCCUGGUAGUCCACGCUGUAAACGGUGGGUACUAGGUGUGGGGUCCAUUCCACGGGUUCCGUGCCGUAGCUAACGCUUUAAGUACCCCGCCUGGGGAGUACGGCCGCAAGGCUAAAACUCAAAGGAAUUGACGGGGCCCCGCACAAGCGGCGGAGCAUGCGGAUUAAUUCGAUGCAACGCGUAGAACCUUACCUGGGUUUGACAUGGAUCGGGAGUGCUCAGAGAUGGGUGUGCCUCUUUUGGGGUCGGUUCACAGGUGGUGCAUGGCUGUCGUCAGCUCGUGUCGUGAGAUGUUGGGUUAAGUCCCGCAACGAGCGCAACCCUUGUUCACUGUUGCCAGCACGUUAUGGUGGGGACUCAGUGGAGACCGCCGGGGUUAACUCGGAGGAAGGUGGGGAUGACGUCAAGUCAUCAUGCCCCUUAUGUCCAGGGCCUCACGCAUGCUACAAUGGCUGGUACAGAGAGUGGCGAGCCUGUGAGGGUGAGCGAAUCUCGGAAAGCCGGUCUCAGUUCGGAUUGGGGUCUGCAACUCGACCUCAUGAAGUCGGAGUCGCUAGUAAUCGCAGAUCAGCAACGCUGCGGUGAAUACGUUCCCGGGGCUUGUACACACCGCCCGUCAAGUCAUGAAAGUUGGUAACACCCGAAGCCGGUGGCCUAACCGUUGUGGGGGAGCCGUCGAAGGUGGGACUGGUGAUUAGG